GUAGAAACCGUAGGAUUUUUUCAGGUAUCCGGUCAACUAGUGUUAGUCUCUCCUGAAAACGGUGCGUUGAUCUUGAUUUGGUACAAGUGUGCUGGUGGAAUUCAUGUGUUCCAUAAUAGUGGAAGGGAACAAGUUCACGUGCAGGUGUCUUGAGAGAACGCAUUGUAUCUUAAACACAUUUCUGUGUGUUUCCUCAGGUGCCUGGUAAGAAAACAGGGUGAACUGAAAAUGGUUCACAUACCCUUGCUAGUAAGCAGACUCGUAUCAUUGAAUCACACUGAGCCUAUUGAUGAUAGCUAACAUAAGACAUUGCUAAUGUCACAGUAGAGAUGAUGUAGGCCUUAGCCACAGCACCGACCAUCUGAUCUUCAGACUGCUAGGUGCUCCGUAGAAGUUGUGUUACCUGACAAUAGUCUUGACCUUGGAGUCCUACAGCUAUUCGAGCAGAGGUUUCCUGUCAAGAGAUUAUGAUGAAACUCGCACUAGUGAUUCUCUGGGGACAUUACUGUUCCCCAGACAAGUGGUGAUGUUCACCUUCGCCAUUUCAAACCACCUGAUCUUCUCGUAUCUGGAUGAAUGUUAUCGAUGGACUAAACUUGCUUAGCGCAUGUGUUUUGUUUUUUUUUUUAAUAAUCAGGGAAGAGGUGAUUGUGUGUCUGUCUUCGGCAUACACCUUGAAGGACUGCAACAAUCCAGGAAGAGUUGACGGGUCCUGCACUGAUGGCAAUGAACAAGAUGAUGUGCAGUGGCCUAGUAGAAGAGGAGACACAUUUUUCACCAAGUGUUUUUCAAUUACCAUCAAGUGAUCAUGGUAAAUUUCCAAAUGGUUAUUGAUGAGACUUAGUUUACAUUCAGGUAUUCACAUCAAAGAUGAUACUGUCCAUUACCAGUUAACAAGUUGUAUCCUGCCACUUGCUUGUUAUAAGUAUGUUUCUUAAGAUUCUAGCAGUCCUGACACCACAGUGAUAGACAGUGGUCGUCAGUAGGAACUUGCCGGUAACCAGCUAUGUGAUACUGUGGAUGUCACCAAUUAGUUGAGAUCAACUGUUCUUGAGAUAGGUUUAUGUGAAGCUCUCCUGAUUGAUAGGCUCAGCUAUCGUAUUUAGUGAGGCAUAUGGAAGUAUCUAGAUUAGUGGUGCCGUGGGCCUAAACCACAGCACAGAUCACGUGAUCCUAAUAUGUAGAUGCUUGUCAAGAAAACCCAGUGAACCUCACAGUAUUCACUGAUGGAAGCUUGCUCUUGACCUGGUAUCCCGUUAAGGUCUUUGCUACUAAACGAUACAAGAUGAUGUGACGUUUUCUCAUUAGAGACAUUCUCAUUUUCAGGUUCCCAUCAAGAGCUCCUGGUGAACUUCCUCAUGGUUUUUACCAGCGACAUCCUUGUCUUGCAGUAAGUGGUGAUGUGCCUUAAGCAUCCCCACCGACCUUCUGUCUUGAGAUGUCUAGACUCGUAUCAUUGAAUCACACUGAGCCUAUUGAUGAUAGCUAACAUAAGACAUUGCUAAUGUCACAGUAGAGAUGAUGUAGGCCUUAGCCACAGCACCGACCAUCUGAUCUUCAGACUGCUAGGUGCUCCGUAGAAGUUGUGUUACCUGACGAUAGUCUUGACCUUGGAGUCCUACAGCUAUUCGAGCAGAGGUUUCCUGUCAAGAGAUUAUGAUGAAACUCGCACUAGUGAUUCUCUGGGGACAUUACUGUUCCCCAGACAAGUGGUGAUGUUCACCUUCGCCAUUUCAAACCAUCUGAUCUUCUCGUAUCUGGAUGAAUGUUAUCGAUGGACUAAACUUGCUUAGUGCAUGUGUUUUGUUUUUUUUUUUAAUAAUCAGGGAAGAGGUGAUUGUGUGUCUGUCUUCGGCCUACACCUUGAAGGACUGCAACAAUCCAGGAAGAGUUGACGGGUCCUGCGCUGAUGGCAAUGAACAAGAUGAUGUGCAGUGGCCUAGUAGAAGAGGAGACACAUUUUUCACCAAGUGUUUUUCAAUUACCAUCAAGUGAUCAUGGUAAAUUUCCAAAUGGUCAUUGAUGGGACUUAGUUUACAUUCAGGUAUCCACAUCAAAGAUGAUACUGUCCAUUACCAGUUAACAAGUUGUAUCCUGCCACUUGCUUGUUAUAAGUAUGUUUCUUAAGAUUCUAGCCGUCCUGACACCACAGCGACAGACAGUGGUCGUCAGUAGGAACUUGCCGGUAACCAGCUAUGUGAUACUGUGGAUGUCACCAAUUAGUUGAGAUCAACUGUUCUUGAGAUAGGUUUAUGUGAAGCUCUCCUGAUUGAUAGGCUCAGCUAUCGUAUUUAGUGAGGCAUAUGGAACUAUCUAGAUUAGUGGUGCCGUGGGCCUAAACCACAGCACAGAUCACGUGAUCCUAAUAUGUAGAUGCUUGUCAAGAAAACCCAGUGAACCUCACAGUAUUCACUGAUGGAAGCUUGCUCUUGACCUGGUAUCCCGUUAAGGUCUUUGCUACUAAACGAUACAAGAUGAUGUGACGUUUUCUCAUUAGAGACAUUCUCAUUUUCAGGUUCCCAUCAAGAGCUCCUGGUGAACUUCCUCAUGGUUUUUACCAGCGCCAUCCUUGUCUUGCAGUAAGUGGUGAUGUGCCUUAAGCAUCCCCACCGACCUUCUGUCUUGAGAUGUCUAGGUAAGUGACGAUAAUAUCACUAACACUUGUGUGACCACGGUUUUGUUUGGUUUUGUGUGUGUGUGUGUGUGUAAAAAUAGUACCUCAGACAAGUCUAGUAAGCAUUAUUAGCUCUCACAGGCUUAAGAGUUUAGGGGCACCUAGCCCAUCCGUGGAGCAUGUGACUCUUGAUCAUGGGUUGUGAGUUCAAGCCCCACUGUGGGCCUAGAGCUUACGUAAAAAUAAAUCAAUACAAAAGAGCUUAUGUUUAAUGUGUGUUGAACAUAAAUAGUGACCGAGAUCUAUGCAGGUAAGUUAUCCAGGCUUCAUACACCAGUGUUGCCCAUAAGAUUUUUCCAGGUGGUCAGUCAAGAGGUAAUGGUGUCUCUAAUAUCCAUGUAGACCAUGACGUUCUGCCAGGAUCCAGGUAAUGUUGAUGGUUCCCACAAUGAGGAAAUUGACCAAAAUUCUUUACAGGCCCCCUGGAAGAACACGUUGUUGCCUUACCCACAUUUUGACACCUCUUUUUUCAGGUUCCUGUCAAGAAAUCUCUGUGAACGUAAUAACGGUCAUGAACAAAAUCUUGUUAGUAACCAGUGAAGGGAUAAAGAGUGUUACUUACAGUGAAGACCAUCUAAUCUUCACAUUAUCAAAGCAAGUGAGAAUGAGGUCUCUAACAUUUGUGUUCUCAUCUUUUUGCAGAUAAGCCAUCAGGGUUUUGCUAGUAAACAGGUAUGAGAUGAUGUGACAUUGACGUAGACAUUAUUUUCAGAGCUCUUUGUGACUAAUGAUAUUAUUCAGGCUCUUACAGUAACCUAGUGUUAGGCACGUAUGCAGUUAAGAAAUUAAGUUGUCCCUGACAAUCAUAAUAUGCCUGAGAAUUUCUUAUUGUUUAGGGAUAAUAUGUUUUGGACUGAUAGUGGGACUUUCAGACAUCCAGGUAAUUCAUCAUAUUGUCCAUCGCUGUGUUACUUACCGUGGGAUGAUUGCGGAUAAUCCUUCAAGAGAGGAAGGUGGCGCUUGCUAGGGGCUGACCUCAGAGUUUUGCAAGUUUUCAGGUAUUACUGAUGGGUCCUGAAAUAUGAUGCAAAUGACCAAGGGAAUUGGCAGUUGUCCAUCAGGAUAAACUUGUACCCAACGCGUUUUUCGCAGUGUGUUUGUCAGGUUCCUGUCCAGACAUCACGACGAACCUAGCGAUGGUCAGUAAUGGGGAACUUUCUGCAAGCAGGCAGAUAAAAGAGCAUGUGGGCCUAAACCUCAGGCCGUCUGGUCUCCAGAUAGCUAGGUAAGUGAUGACGUUUAUAACAUUUCUCAAUCCCAUUACGUUCCUGCAGGUGUUGAGGUAAGAGACGAUGUAGCCCUUACCAGUAAUAAAAACCGUGAGUUCUCACCUUUAUGUUUAGAGAACAUCUAUAGCCCUGUUCGUGUCGAAGGGUGGUUCUUGUACAGGUGAUUGUCAUGGAGUUCACACCCCAGUAGGACCCACGGAAUGUGGCAGAUGUCCAGUUGAUGUGUUCCAUAGUAAUGCGAGUGAAAAGGUUAUGUUCAGGUGUUCUAGUAGCAUAAUUUGCAUUUCAAACCCAUUGUUGCUUGUCCUUUUACGGGUUCUUGUCAAGAGAACACAGUGAACCUUCCACCGGUUUGGAACGCAUCCUUACUAGUAACCAGGUAGGUCAUACAGUGGGUCUUACUACACUGCAGACCAAUGUAAUCCCCAAUAUCUAGGUAAGUGAGGGUGGUGUCCCUAACACUGUGUUACUGUGUUCAUUUGCAGAUACCCUUUUAAGGUCUUUGCUUGCCCACAGAUAUGCAAUCAUGCGACAUCAACUCAAUAGAGACGUUCUUAUUUUUUGAUACCCACAUAUUAAUGUGUUUCACGUUCUAGUAUUCACAUUGUUUUUGGCAUGUAUUCUGUUAAGAAAUCAGUGUAUUGCUAAAAUACUAGUAAGAAUGAGAGUUUUAUCCUGGUUCAGAGAUACUGUAUUUUUUAAAAUGAGUAGCGAUAGAAGGAUAUGCAGGUACUCAGGUAAUUGAGAAUAUUGUCGGUCACAGUAUUAUUGACCGUGGCUUUUUUGUAGGUAUCCCUGCGGAGAGGAACCAGUCUCUUCCUAGCUUUGAGCUUGGAGUUCUGCAAGUACGCAGGUAGUGUCGAUGGAUCCCCAAACAAUACAAGUGACCAAGGGAAUUUGCAGGUGUAUGGGUUAAAUAAGACGUAAACAAAAUUUCCAAAAUGUGUUUUUCAGAUUCACUUCAGGACAUGACAGUGAGUCUGUCAAUAGUAGUUCAUGUGAGACCCUGGUGGUAUGAACGUAAGUGAUGAUGUGGGCCCCAGCACAGACCAUCUGAUUUGCAUAUGCAUGGGCAAGUGAUUAAGUGUUCUAACACUUCUCCUUACCGUGAUUUUUUUUUUUUUUUGGCAAGUAUUCGGGGAAAAAAAAUGAUGGUUUUACCAACUGUAGAAAACACAAGUUUUCACUUUUAUAUUUCAGGAAGGUUUAUGUUGAACACUGUGAGGCAUUACAUACAUCCAAGUAUUUAUCUUGUGUUCUCUUCGUAGUACUAUUUAUAUGAUAUUUAGAAGCGUCCGAGGGGCGCCUGGGUGGCGCAGUCGGUUGAGCGUCCGACUUCAGCCAGUUCACGAUCUCGCGGUCCGUGAGUUCAAGCCCUGCGUCAGGCUCUGGGCUGAUGGCUCCGAGCCUGGAGCCUGUUUCUGAUUCUGUGUCUCCCUCUCUCUCUGCCCCUCCCCCGUUCAUGCUCUGUCUCUCUCUGUCCCAAAAAUAAAUAAACGUUGAAAAAAAAAUUUUUUUAGAAGCGUCCGAACACUGAGUUUUCUGACGUUGUUGCUAACUUUUAAUUACAAUUAUUCAGAGUUGGUUUGUUCCAUAAUGAUGAAGUGAACAAUCUUUUUUGCAGGUGUCAUGGUAGAAAAAGUUGUUUCCAUUAACCCUGAUUUCGUAACGUGUUUUCCAGAUCCUUGUCAAGACCUCAGGAUGAACUUAGCAGCAGUCAUUAAUAGGGGCGGAUAUCCUGUUGAUACGCAGGUAAGGCCACCCGAUCUCCAGAUACCUAGGUAAGGGAUAACAGUGUCUCUAAGGGUUGUUACCAUGAUUUCUUUGCAAGUAUUCGGGUAGGAAUUGAUAGUCCUUUCUAAUUCUAGAAAGUGUGAGUUGUUAGCGUUUGUAUUUUAGAAAAGAUGUCUGUUUAGCCCUGUGAGUGUUAAGGGAUCCCUUUGAGUGUUAAGGGAUAUUUAUCAUGAUGCUUCCGACCAUAGCAAUGACCAUGGAAAUUUUGCAGGUGUCCUGUAAAGAAAUAGUGUCUUCCCUGACAACAAUGGUCUUGAUCUUGGAGUACUGCAAGCGUUCAGGUAGAGUUGAUAUUCUCAUAAUAGCGAAAGUGACCAAGGUGCCCUAGAGGUGUUCUGCUUACAGCAGGUCACGUCCCUUUACACAUAUGUCAUAAUGUAUUUGUCAGGUUCCUUCAAGAUCCUGAAGCACUUAACAGUGGUCGGUAAUGGGGGACAUUUCUUGUGUCCAGGUAAGUGGUGAUGUGUAUCUUUACCGCAUCAGACCCUCUGAUCUCUCCGUGUGUGUGUGUGUUAUAAGUAAGGUGUUGAUUGCCUUAGCUUAUUUUACUGUGUGAUUCUUUUUAAGGUUUGCCAGUAAGAAAUGAUGUUUUAAUAAUUCUGGCAAUCAUGUUAUCCUGCUGUUACUUAUUUUAGAGAAAACGUAUGUUUAACCGUGUGAGUGUUGAUCAGUUUGUGGGUAUCCACGUAAUAAUCACAAAGUUGUGCAUCACAGUAGUAACUGUGGUAUUGCUGCUGGCAAACAUUCAAGAGAUGAUGGUGUUUCUAACAGUGGUGUAGACUGGAGAAUACUGCAAGAAUCCAGGUAGAGUUGAUAGGUCCUGCGUUGACGAAACUGAGCAAGGUUAUUUGGAGGGUCCCGAGAGGAGAAGUUUGUCCGUAGUCACCUUUGUCAUAAUGUGUUUUUCAGGUUCCGGUCAAGAAAUCAUGGUAUGCCUCAUAAUGACCAUGAACAGAACUUUGCUCGCAGCCAGGUAAAAGAUAGGAGCCUAAAACACCCUACACACCAUCCAGUCUUCAAAUAUUUAGGUUAGCAUGGAUGGUCCUAAUGUUUGGGAUAGCACGUUUUUCUGUGUGGAUUCGGUUGAAAAAUAAUACUGUCCCAACCAAUGUUAGUAGUAAGCAUUAGCCCUUAGAACUAUAGAGCUUAACAUUCAGUGGGUGUUUAAACUUAGCAUUGAUGGAGGCAUAUACAGGUAUCUAGGUAAGUUAUUCUACUAUUAACAAUCUCAUUAAGUUCUUUGCUAGUAUAAAAUUGAGGUGAUGUGAUAAUAAAUCCUCAGGGAUUUAUCUUCAGAUAUAUAGGUAAUUAAUGCUUCCUCAACCUUUAUAUUAGUCUUCUUGGCGUAUACACAGUUCAGAAAUUAACUGGCAAGCAUGAGCUUUUACUGUCUCCUUGUUUGGAGAUAAUACGUGUUUUUACACUCAUACCAAUGGACCUACAGUCAGUCAUCCAGCUAAUUUGUCAUAUAUUCCAUACCCAUGAUGCUGACCAUAGGAUUUUUACAGACAUCCACUCAAAAGAUUAAUUUAACCUGUUGAGUUCUGCGUAUUAUCCAGUAAUGUUGAAGGGGGUCCCAAAAUAAUACACUGGCCAAGAGAAUUUGCAAUUAUCCAAGUAGAAUAAAAUGUACAUGGAACAAGUUUUCUAUGCUGUGUUUUCAGGCUCAGGUUAAGACAUCAUGGGGAGUAUAUCCAUCGUGGUAAAUGAGGCACAUAGCAGGUAUGGAGGUAAGUGAUGAUGUGGGCCUGAAUCACAGCACAGACCAUCUGAUUCUAUAUGCAGGUAAGGUAUUAUGGUCCUAACACUUCUUGUUACUAUGAUUUUGUUACAGGUGUUCAGGUAAGAGAUAGUCCUUACCAAAUCUAGUGACCUUGACUUUAUACGUUUUACAUUUUAGAGAUAAACGUUUAACCCUGUGAGUUUUGAGAGCUGAUUGUAUCCAUAACUGUUAAUUUCCCACCCCAGUAGUAACCACAGUGUAUUUGCAGGAAGUCUGCUUCAGACAUGAUGGCCUUCUUCUGAUGAAGGUGUUGACCUGAGUUGAUGCAAACGUCAAGGUGUCCGUUCAAGAGAAGUAGAUGUCUCUUCACAGGGUUUAUCCUUGGAGUUCUGGAAGUUAACGUCAAGACCUCAUGGUGACUUUAUCAAUGAUAAUGAAUGUGGGACAUCGCUGGAAUGGAGGUAAGUGAUCCUGUGGGUCUAAACCACAGCACAUACCAUCCAGCUUUCAUACAUGGAGGUAAAUGGUGAGUGUCCUUACACUUCCUGUUACCAUGAAUUUUUUGAAGGUGUGCAGGUAAGAAAUGAUAGAGUCCUUACCAAUUCCAAAGACCCUGUUUCUCUGCUUUCUGUAUUUCAGGAAAUGUUCAUUUUUAACCCUCUGAGUGUUGAGGGACUGCACGUAUACAGGUAUUUAUCAUGAUAUUGCCCGUGAAAGUCCUACCCAUAGGCUAUUUGCAGGUGUCCAAUCAUAGAUUGAUGGUCUUAUCCGAUACUGGUAUUAACCUUAGAUUACUGUAAGUAUCCAGUAGAGUUGAUGUGUCUCAUGAUGAUGAAGUGAACACUGUUAUUUGCAGGUUUCCUGGUAGGAAAAAGCUAUGUCCUUCAACACACGCUCGUAAUGUCUUUCCAGCUUCCAGUCACGAAUUGAUGAAUCUAACAUUGCUCAUCAGUGGGGAUGUUCCUAGUGUGCAGGUAAGUGAUGACGUGGGCCUAGACCAGGCCAUCCGAUCUCCAUCUAACUGGGUAAGUGAUGAAGGUUUCCCUAACAGUUGUUACCAUUUUUCUUUGCAAGUAUUCAGGUAGGAAAUAGCCCUUACCAAUUCUAGAAACCAUGAGUUUUUUCUUUUUAUAUUUUAUUCUUGUGAGUGAUGAGGGGUUGCCAUAUUCAGGUAAUGAUCAUGAUGUAUCUAACCCUAGCCGUAACCGUGGAAAUUUUGCAUGUGUUUCAUAAUGAAAUGUUGUUAUAUCUGAUCAUGAUCUUGACCUUGGUUGGAAUACUGCAAAUAUUUAGGUGGAAUUGAUGUUCUACUAAUGAAGGAAGCGUCUAAGGUAAUUAAUUUGAGGUUUCUUGCUGCAAGUUCUGUCUUUUUACACAUCCGUAAUGUGUUUUUCAGCUUCCUGCCGAAAGAUCAAGAUGAAAUCAAUGGUUAAUGGGGGACAUUUCUGGUAUCCGGAUAGGUUAUGCCGUAUGCCUUCACCACAUCAGACCAUCUAAUAGUCACAUAUCUAGCAGUCAUCUCAAAAG